CCGUGUGGCGUGCGAUAAAAGCUCACCUGAAAAUCCGGGUCCAGUUUGGUCCGCCUUUGGACACAUCUGAAACUUCUUGAGAAGUUGGGACGUUCGUCCCCCCAAGAUUCAAAGUCUUUCCCCGAGGUUUCGUUAGCACGCGCGAUUGCUAUCUGGGAAAUGUACAAAGUGCCAAGGAUAUGGAAUAAAAAAAUGUUGCGUAAAAGAAAAGCAAAAGUGAUUUACUACGCUUUUUAGCUCUUUUACAAACGACAUCCUCUCCUGGAAUCGCACACGCCAGAAGCAAUUCAACUCAGCACUUGGCGUUGGUGACGAUGAAGAGAAAAAGGGAAGACUCGGAUGCAGCAACAUCGUCCUCCACGGGUGAGGGUGGUGAGUCACUGGGAGCUGAAUUUGAUGUGUUCUUGAAUUUCAGAGGGCCGGACACUCGGCUCAACUUUACUGAUCACCUAUAUCACUCCUUGGAUAGAGCUGGGAUCCGCGUCUUCUUAGACGAUGAAGAGAUCCGAAAAGGUGAAAAAAUUGGAGGCGAGCUUCUACAUGCGAUCGAAAACUCCAGAAUUUUUGUGCCCAUCUUCUCUAGAGACUAUGCAUCUAGUGCAUGGUGUCUCCGCGAGCUCGCCCAUAUGGUGGAAUGCUCAAGAAGAUCGGUAGACAAAGUGAUUCUUCCUAUUUUCUUUGACGUCGAUCCUUAUGAUGUUAAGCUCAGAACUGGAUUAUACGCUGAUGCCUUGAAAAGGCAUGAGGACAGGUUCAGCUAUGAUGAUUUGCAACGGUGGAAGAAGGCUCUAAUAGAGGUCGCUUCGAUCAAAGGAUGGGACUGCAAAGAUAUUGGUCUUUGUUGCCGACAUCUUCAGGCCUCAGUCUUCGACAACUUAUCAAACUGGAUUCCUCUAGAAUGCUGCCCGCGUAGUCUUCAACUCGCAGCCACAAAUACAAGAUCUUCUCCAAGGGGCACUUAUUAAACUUGUUACCGAUGAGGUUUCAAGGCAACUGUCAAGAGGAGUCCGAGUAGUACCUGAUCAUUUAAUUGGAAUCGAUGAUCAUGUGCAAGCUGUGAUGAAUUCCUUUGGCAAAGACUCUCUCGAUGUACAGUUUGUCAUUAUACAUGGAAUGAGUGGAAUUGGUAAGACAACUCUUGCCAAAGUUGUUUUCAACCAAAUUGCUUCUCAGUUUCAAGGUUGCAGCUUCCUAUCAGACGUUCGAGAAUUUUCACAGCAGGGUAAAAUUGUGAAAUUGCAAAACAGAUUAUUGUUUGACAUCCUCAAGUCUCAAUCCAUAAAAGUUCAUGAUACCGACUCUGGGAUCAACAUGAUUAGAGGAAGGUGUUGCCACAAGAAAGUUCUGAUUGUUCUUGAUAAUUUGGAUAAAAAGGACCAGCUCGAGAAGCUAGCAGGAAAAUGCAAUUGGUUUGGUCCAGGAAGUAGAAUUAUUGUGACAACUAGGGACAUCAGUUUUUUGAAAAUUUACAAGAAUAAUGCCUCAAUGCAUCCUAAAGUUUAUCACUUCUACAAAAUGGAGGAGAUGCAUGAUUCUCUUGCCAUUCGACUUUUUAGUAGAUAUGCAUUUGAGAGCGGUACUCCUCCCCUUAAAUAUGAUAAAAUAACAAGAGAAAUUGUGAAUAUCAUCGGUGGACUUCCACUAUCCCUUGUGGUUAUUGGAUCCUCACUUUGCAACGAGAGCCAAGAAGUAUGGGAUGAUGUAUUAGCCAAGCUGAAAAAAAUGCCUCACAAAGAAGUUCAGGACAUAUUGAAGAGAUUUAGGGAGGGAACUUGUUCGCAAGGAGAGCAUCGAACAUCUUGGAGAGCUUAGUAGAAUAUGGUGUUCCAUCGUAGCCAUGGAUGUUGUACAAAGAAAAGAGGGGACAGAAAAAACAGUGACACUCAAACUAGGAAGACAAUCUCAAGUGUGCAAUAUUACACAAGAAGAUAUUUUAGGGCUGGUAAAGUUAAAGUUCCUUAAAUUCAGUGGAGGAAAUUUUGUUGGGAACUUCCAAGAUCUCCUUUCGGAGCUAAAAUGGCUCUCUUGGCAAAAUUGUCCGUCAAAGUUUCAAGCUACUAACUUCUCUCUAGGCAAUUUGGUUGUCCUAAAAAUUUCAGAAUCUACAUUGCAACUGAUUGGGAUGGAUGGAGCCAAAUCACGGGAAAUUGUACGUUAAAAGUCCUGCAUCUUGUGAAUUGUAGAAGGUUGACCAAGACGCCUAACUUCUCUACGUGCUUGACUUUGGAGAGACUCGUUGUGAAGGACUGUGGAAGUCUGGAGGAAAUUGACCCAUCUGUUAGUAUGCUGCUGCAUUUGAAGCACUUGGAAAUUAAUGGGUGUAAUGGUUUGAAGAUGCUUAAAGGAGCUCCAACCACGCUCAAUCUUGGCAUGAUAUGUCAAUCAUGGCUAGACUCAUUAGGUAAUCUAAAAAGUGUCUAUCAACACUAGAAAUGGAAUAGUUGGAACUCCUUGAACUUCCGAAUUCAAUAGGAGAGAUACUUGGUCUUCAAGAAUUGUCUUUGAGUGAUUCAUCUAUGGAAAAACUUCCAAAUUCAAUUGGAAAACUAUAAUCUCUAGUUCAGUUGAAUCUGUCUCGCAUGAAUAUCAUGGAGUUGCCCGAUUCGAUUGGAGAGCUUAUGAGAUUGAAGUUACUACUCAUGGAAAGCUGUAACUGGAGAAAGCUACCUCAGACAAUAGGGGCGUCGGAGAAGCUUGAAUAUUUAGAAGCCAGCAAUUGCAAAUUUUUGGAGGGAGAAAUUCCCAUGGAAAUUGGGGCACUAUCAUCUUUGAAAAACCUAAGCCUAAAUAAUACUUGCUUUUCUGAAGUGCCCCCAACUAUUAGUCAGCUUUCUCGACUUUAUGAUUUGGGUUUGGUUGGUUGUCGUGAGCUUCAAGAAUUGCCGCAGCUUCCUGAAAGUUUGGCAUCUUUGGACAUUUCAUCUUCAGCUUUACAGAGGAUUCAAAAUCUGUCAAACCUGACCAUCUUAGAAAAUCUGAAUUUAUCUAAUGGUGGUCGUCUUCCUAGAUAUCUUAAUAUGCCUCAUGCAUCACCAAAUGCAUGCCAAGCUCAAGAUUUGCAGUGGAUUGGGAGGUUAACUAAGUUGACGUGGUUGAGAUUGGACCUUUCAGACAUGACCAUGUUGCCUGCUGACUUUAGUACCCUUACCGAACUCCAAGAUCUUGAAUUACCAGGCUCCACCUUUUAAUUUCUUGAGGCGGUUCCGCCCAAUUUUGGUGGGUUGAGGUUUUUCGAUCUUGAUUCCACAGAUGGAUGGCCAUGCCUUCCCACCUUCAAAUAUUUGUCCAGAAUAGAGGUAUGCAGGUCAUUCUUGACAGAAAUUCCACUGGAUGUGCUUGAACAGUUGGAGAGCCUUCGUCAAUUGCAGUUAUAGGACUGUGAAUUCCUCGAAAGACUAUCUCACGCACAAAGCUUAAAGAGGCUAUGGUUUUUGGGGGUUACUAAUUGUCCAGAGCUAGUUGAGAUUCAAGGUCUCGAACAAUCAGAAUCAGUGGAGCAUAUUUAUAUUGAUUCAUGCCCGUCCUUGAAAGAGCUACCGGAUCUUUCUGGCUUAAAAAUCCUGGAAAUUUGUAUUUGUCUCGUUGCGACUUGUUGGAAAGUUUGCCUGCUGUCGCGAAUAUGGAAGCAUGUCGUAAGAUUGUUUUCGCAUGCAGGAUGCUGCCUCGCGUUUCAUGUCCCUCGUCAGCUUUUGGAUCAGGAAGGUAAUGAUGGACAGCUUACAAUCCGCGACCAGAAGUGGCGGCAUUUGAUUGCCUUGCUCAGAUUUAAUCAUCUUUUCUAUUUAUAGGUUGUGUAUACAUAACGUUCUCGCCCUUCUAUUGAGAUUGAAAAGUAGCUACACUUAGCUGUUUUUUUUUUACUUUAAUCUUGUAUGUAAGACGUGAAGAGACUCAAUCUUUUCACUGCUAGUUAUUCGGAUCAUUUGUCACCAAAAAUUUGUAAAUCACCUUGCAAAGGUCUCGACGUCCUCAGCAAUUCAGAAACGAAGGAGCGCCUCCGCCUGUAAA